GACGAACGCUGGCGGUGUGCUUAACACAUGCAAGUCGAACGGUAAGGCCCUUUCGGGGGUACACGAGUGGCGAACGGGUGAGUAACACGUGAGUAACCUGCCCCCAUCUCUGGGAUAACAGUCGGAAACGGUUGCUAAUACUGGAUAUGAGCCUGCAAGGCAUCUUGUGGGUUGGAAAGAUUUUUUGGUUGGGGAUGGACUCGCGGCCUAUCAGCUUGUUGGUGAGGUAGUGGCUCACCAAGGCUUCGACGGGUAGCCGGCCUGAGAGGGCGACCGGCCACAUUGGGACUGAGAUACGGCCCAAACUCCUACGGGAGGCAGCAGUGGGGAAUAUUGCACAAUGGACGGAAGUCUGAUGCAGCAACGCCGCGUGCGGGAUGACGGCCUUCGGGUUGUAAACCGCUUUCAAUUGUGACGAAGCUUUUUGUGACGGUAGCAGUAGAAGAAGCACCGGCUAACUACGUG
rnacentral:rRNA from 1 species